GACGAACGCUGGCGGCGUGCUUAACACAUGCAAGUCGAACGGAAAGGCCCUGCUUGCAGGGUACUCGAGUGGCGAACGGGUGAGUAACACGUGGGUGAUCUGCCCUGCACUUCGGGAUAAGCCUGGGAAACUGGGUCUAAUACCGGAUAGGAGCCAUUUUUAGUGUGAUGGUUGGAAAGUUUUUUCGGUGUAGGAUGAGCUCGCGGCCUAUCAGCUUGUUGGUGGGGUAAUGGCCUACCAAGGCGGCGACGGGUAGCCGGCCUGAGAGGGUGGACGGCCACAUUGGGACUGAGAGACGGCGCAGACUCCUACGGGAGGCAGCAGUGGGGAAUAUUGCACAAUGGGGGCGAGCCUGAUGCAGCGACGCCGCGUGGGGGAUGACGGGCUUCGGGUUGUGAACUCCUUUCGCUAGGGACGAAGCUUUUUGUGACGGUACCUAGAUAAGAAGCACCGGCUAACUACGUG
rnacentral:rRNA from 1 species